CCUUGAGCUAAUGGAAGAAGACAUAAUGGAGCCUUCAUUCCUUCUGCCCACGUGAAAACCUGUGACUCUGCUCAUCAGUGAGAGGCCUCUUCCACACAGAGAUGGGCUUUCAACUUGUUGCCCAGGCUGGUCUUAAACUCCUGAUCUCAAGCAAUGUGCCUGCCUCAGCCUCCCAAAGUCCUGGGAUUACAGACAUCAGCCACUGCAUCUGGCCGAAUAUCCAAGAUUUUCAUUGAAGGAGUUACUUAACAUGGCGAGGAGGGCUGGGCAGUGGAGAGAAUGAGCAGGCACAGGUGGCAGUUGGAUUCUCAAUAUAUACCUUUAAAGAAGUUUGAGUGUGAAUCACAGGCUGAAAGGGUUUGGUUCUGUGUCCCCCACCCAAAUCUCAUCUUGUAGCUCCCAUAAUUCUCACAUGUUGUGGGAAGGACCCGGUGGGAAGCAUGGGGGUAGGUCUUUCCCGUGCUGUUCUUGUGAUAGUGAAUGGGUCUCACGACAUCUGAUGGUUUUACAAACGGGAAUUUCCCUGCACAAGUUCUCUUCUGUUGUCUGCCACCAUGUGAGAUGUGCCUUUCGUAGUCCUCUGUCAUGAUUGUGAGGCCUCCCCAGGCACAUGGAAAUGUCAGUCCAAUUAAACCUAUCUUUUGUAAGUUUCUCAGUCUUGGGUAUGUCUUUAUUAGCAGCAUGAAAAUGGACUAAUA
rnacentral:lncRNA from 1 species